GGCUCAGAUUGAACGCUGGCGGCAUGCCUUACACAUGCAAGUCGAACGGCAGCACGGGAGCAAUCCUGGUGGCGAGUGGCGAACGGGUGAGUAAUAUAUCGGAACGUGCCCAGUCGUGGGGGAUAACGUAGCGAAAGCUACGCUAAUACCGCAUACGAUCUAUGGAUGAAAGCGGGGGAUCGCAAGACCUCGCGCGAUUGGAGCGGCCGAUAUCAGAUUAGGUAGUUGGUGGGGUAAAAGCCUACCAAGCCUUCGAUCUGUAGCUGGUCUGAGAGGACGACCAGCCACACUGGAACUGAGACACGGUCCAGACUCCUACGGGAGGCAGCAGUGGGGAAUUUUGGACAAUGGGCGCAAGCCUGAUCCAGCAAUGCCGCGUGCAGGAUGAAGGCCUUCGGGUUGUAAACUGCUUUUGUACGGAACGAAACGGCUCUUUCUAAUAAAGGGAGCUAAUGACGGUACCGUAAGAAUAAGCACCGGCUAACUACGUG
rnacentral:rRNA from 1 species